UGACACGGUGAACACAUUGCAAAAGGUUUG
rnacentral:piRNA from 1 species